GAAAGUGUAGCUCAGUGGUAGAGUACUUAACUAGCAUGUAAGAGGCCCUGGGUUCAAUACCUAGUACCA
rnacentral:tRNA from 1 species